rnacentral:rRNA from 1 species
GACGAACGCUGGCGGCGUGCUUAACACAUGCAAGUGGAGCGACGAACCAGGCUUCGGCCUGGGGCAAAGCCGCGAACGGGUGAGUAUCACGUGGGUAACGUGCCCCGAUGACCGGGACAACCCGAGGAAACUCGGGCUAAUACCGGAUGUGCUGUGUGGCCCCAAGGCCACUCAGUAAAGGAAGCUUCGGCCUCCGCAUUGGGAGCGGCCCGCGGCCCAUUAGCUUGUUGGUGAGGUAAAGGCUCACCAAGGCGA